GGAGAAGGGGCCUGAGAAAUGGCCACUACGUCUAAGGAUGGCAGCAGGCGCGCAAAUUACCCACUCUCAGAACGAGGAGGUAGUGACGAGAAAUAACAAGACCGUUCUCUUCAGAGGCCGGUCAUUGGAAUGGGUACAAUUUAAACCCUUUAACGAGUAUCUAUGAGUGGGCAAGUCUGGUGCCAGCAGCCGCGGUAAUUCCAGCUCUCAAAAUGCAUAGAAUCAUUGCUGCGGUUAAAAAGCUCGUAGUUGGAUCUGUGCUGGCGGGUCGGUCCACCUUCGGGUGCGCACUGAUUUCGCCGGCUUUCCUGCUGUAUUUGGCCCUGUGCCUUUCAACGGGUGCAGUGUCCAGUGCAGCAAGUUUACCUUGAACAAAUCAGAGUGCUUCAAACAGGCGUUUCGCUUGAAUGUUCGUGCAUGGAAUAAUAGAAGAGGAUUUCGGUUCUAUUUUAUUGGUUUUAUAGACUGAGAUAAUGGUUAACAGAGACUAACGGGGGCAUUAGUAUUGCUACGUGAGAGGUGAAAUUCUUGGACCGUAGCAAGACUGACUACAGCGAAAGCAUUUGCCAAGAAAGUCUUCAUUAAUCAAACGAAAGUCAGAGGUUCGAAGGCGAUCAGAUACCGCCCUAGUUCUGACCGUAAACGAUGCCAACUAGUGAUCCGCCGGUGGAACAUUCGCCCUGGUGGGGAACUUCCCGGAAACGAAAGUCUUCCGGUUCCGGGGGAAGUAUGGUUGCAAAGCUGAAACUUAAAGGAAUUGACGGAAGGGCACCACCAGGAGUGGAGCCUGCGGCUUAAUUUGACCCAACACGGGAAAACUCACCCGGCCCGGACACCGUAAGGAUUGACAGAUUGAUAGCUCUUUCAUGAUUCGGUGGAUGGUGGUGCAUGGCCGUUCUUAGUUCGUGGAGCGAUUUGUCUGGUUUAUUCCGAUAACGAGCGAGACUCUGGCCUACUAAAUAGUUUACACAUUGCUUCUGUGUGCAUAACUUCUUAGAGGGAUUUUCGGUGUUCAGCCGCAAGAAAUUGAGCAAUAACAGGUCUGUGAUGCCCUUAGAUGUCCGGGGCUGCACGCGCGCUACACUGGCAAAAUCAGCGUGCUUGUCCUUCCCCGAAAGGGGUUGGUAAACUCGUGAAAAUUUGCCGUGAUUGGGAUCGGAAAUUGCAAUUAUUUUCCGUGAACGAGGAAUUCCAAGUAAGUGCGAGUCAUCAACUCGCGUUGAUUACGUCCCUGCCCUUUGUACACACCGCCCGUCGCUGCCCGGGACUGAGCCGUUUCGAGAAACUUGGAGACCGCUGAUCUGGUAACUUCGAUUGCCAUUUUGGUGGGAACCAAUUUAAUCGCAGUGGCUUGAACCGGGCAAAAGUCGUAACAAGGUA
rnacentral:rRNA from 1 species